GUGACUAUGACUCAAAUAGACAGCUUUGAAUAAACUAUAAAUAAUAAUAGUUGAAUUAUAGAGAAUGUUGCAUAUGAACAUGAAAUGCAUUUAAUUGAUAAUUAAAUUUAUUUAUUUAGAUCCAGAAGAUUCAAAUACGAAGCUAGAUCGAGGAAAGGAAAAAGUUCGGGAUCAGUAGAUUUUUUUUGUUUACAAAUAAGUAUCAAGUGUUAAGAGCUCGGAGGUCAGAUUUGGUCGGAAACACAUCACACUAUCAACCUCAAGAUUUCAGUAUAUAAAAAAAAAUUAUUUUGGAAAUCAAUGGCAUGUAUAAGCUAAUAAAGUAAAUGAUUCUGUGAAAUGAAUGUAAGGACAACCAAUGGUAUGGCUAACAAAUCUUGGUUUUGGUAUACGAUGAUGUUAUCUUAUAAA